CUGGUAGCUUUAAGAUAGCUUUGCCUUAGCAAGGAUCAAAGUCCUACCCAAAUAUAAAAAAUAUCUAGAAGUAUCUAAGAGUUCUUUUUUUCUAUUUACCUUGAUUAGGAGAUAAAAGUUUUAUCUGUUAGUUGCUUUUCCUUUUGGAAUUAUUGUGGAUUUUAAAACUUAAAACUUGCCUGCAAGUAUUUAUAUAAACAUUCAGGUAUAUAAGCCUUAAUUUCUAAGAUAAUUUAACUUUUGUUAUGGGAGGGAGGUAAGAGUGUAAAUUUUAUAUACAUGAAGGUAAGAUCUGAGUGUAAACUUUACAUACAUGAAGUAUGAAUGGAAGGUAGAAAAAAAGUCCCUUUUCGCAUGUAAUCUCUUUAUCAAAGAAUUUUCUUUUGACACUUUACCACUGAAGUAUUUUUGUAAGUCCUAAAUUCGCAGCAUAUUGUUUCAUAUUUAUAUGCCAUCUUGCAAAUAGUUCUUGCUAUUUUAUUCACUGCUGUUACACUUUAGAAAAAUUCCAGCUUGUUUACUUGCAUUUAUCAGUGAUGCCAACCAAGCUUUGACUGUUAACUUGAAAGCUUGCUUCUGAAAUGUUGGUGCAUUUUCAGGUGACCUCUUAUCUCUCUGAAAGUUCAUACCUAUUAGCAGGCUCUGUAAAUAUUGACAUACUUAGCUUUUAAUACAUUCUAUAAGUAAAUUUAUAGAUUUCAGAAUAACUUAAAAAAUUUAAUGGUAAGAAGGGGUGAUGUGUCGAAAACUCAUACUAAAGUAUUAGGUCACUUUAAAAAAAGUGAUAAUGUAUGAUUUAAUGAAAUCUUAAGAUUCAGUUACUAUUUAAAUUCACCAUUUCUGUUUUGGUCUUAUAAAGAGACCUUGGUUUAAUUAUCCAGAGGAAGUCCUCUUCACCAUUUUUUUUUUUUCUUAGUUCUGCUUCUGGAAAGUGUUUUAUAAAGUUUUCUCAGUGAGGGUUCUUAAGAGUUUUCUUUGGCCUCUUUUCUCUCAACAGUAAAUUGAUGAUUUUAUAUCAGCUUUUUCAAUAAAAGAUGCAUUAUCAUUACUGGCUAUAAAUCAUCCUGGGGAGAUUUAUAACCAGGUUAAAAAUAAUAUCUUUUACUUCUCUCACCUUUUACUUGUGGUUCAGAUGCUCAGACUGUGCCUGUUUGCGUCGUGUCUGUUGCUCUGCCGCUUUCCAUGCAGGCAUUUUUAAUUUUACACAAUCCUAACAAUAUAUGGAACUCAUUCCUAUGAAUAUAUAAAAGGAGGCUUCCAAAAUUUUCUAUUAAAAUAUUUCAGGAUAAAUUAAGUGUUGAUAAUUUGAAAAAAUAAUUUCAAUGAGCUGCUUAUAGUAAAAAUGGUAGAAUCAGAGUUUUCAUUCUUUGAGAAAUCUUUCUGUAAGAUUGGCUCAUAGAUAAAAUGAGACAAACUACUAUGUAUGAUAAAACACCUUCAGAGUCAUGCCUUGUUUUAUUUUAUUUUAUUUUUUGAGACAGAGGUCUCGCUCUGUCGCCCAGGUUGGAGUGCAGUGGUGCAAUCUCGCUCACUGCAACCUCCACCUCCCAGGUUCAAGCGAUUCUCCUGUCUCAGCUUCCUGAGUAGCUGGGACUACAGGUGUACACCACCACGCCUGGCUAAUUUUUGUUUUUUUACUAGAGGUGGGGUUUUGCCAUGUUGGCCAGGCUGGUCUCAAACUCCUGACCUCAGGUGAUCCACUCCCCCCAGCCUCCCAAAGUGCUGGGAUUACAGGCAUGAGCCACCCCGCCCAGCUGAGUCAUGCCUUAUUUUCGUAGUAUACCAAGAAAUGUUCUAUGGAAGUUUACGUUUUAACACCUCUUUUAUACUUGGUAAAAUUGCCUGUGUUUCGCUUUAUUCCUUUUUUUUUUUGAGACGGACUCUUGUACUGUCACCCAGGCUGAAGUGCAGUGGCGCAAUCUUGGCUCACUACAACCUCCGCCUCCUGGGUUCAAGUGAUUCUUUUGCCUCAGCCUCCCAAGUAGCAGGGAUUACAGGCAUGUGCCACCACACCCGGCUUAUUUUUGUAUUUUUAGUAGAGACAGGGCUUCGCCAUGUUGACCAGGCUGGUCUCAACUCCUCUGGGAAUCCGCCUGUCUUGGCCUUCCAGGGUGCUGGGAUUACAGGCGUGAGCCACUGGAACCUGGCCUUGUUUUGCUUUAUUUUUUCUCUUACAUGAAGUAAAGCGCUUUGGUCAAACACACAAAAAUACUGCCUUGUACUGGUGGUUGGUUUCAUUAGUGGAUCACACACAGUGUUCUACUUGGCUUGUAAAAUGGUGCCUUGGAUAGGGUGAGUUUGGAUAAGUAUGUAUGUAUGUAUGAGUUAUAGCAAAAUUAAGUAGAUUGAAUCAAGUCCAUGCAAAAGCAAUAAAACAGUUUUAAUUUUUUAAUUUUUUAAAAAUUAAAACUUUAAUAAAACAGUUUUUAAUUUUUUGCUAGGUUCUUUUAAAAAAUGAUGUAACUUACAUGGAAGUCUUCACAGGACUUUUUUCUUUCCUGGAACUAUUGAAAUGUAAUUUAGGAUGAUUUGAUCUUCCAUCUCAAGUUGUCAACAUGGCUGUGUCAUUCUGGCUUACAUAUGUUUUAUUUAACAAAAUUCUAGUCAAGGGAUAAGGGCAUAAUGAAGACAAGCUUCAGUUAUGAAAGUACAAACUAUUUGUGUGAUUAAUUUUUAAAAAUGACAUUAAGAAGCCCAUUGUAAAAUAAUAUUUGCAGUCAAAUGGUUUUUCUUGCUGUAAGUCCUGUUGUAGCUAUGUUUAGGGUAGUGGUUCUCAUCUACCUUGGAGUGCAUAAGACUUACCUAGCAGGCUUGUUUAAAAAGUUCAGAUUCCUAGCUUUGUACCCAGGGAUUGCCUCAGGUGGUAUGGGCUGUGGUCCUGGAGUCAUCACUUUUAUAAAUAGUGGUUCAGAGACCACAGAGAGAGACUGCUUCAUCGAAUGGGAAGUACCAAGGAGAAAGUACAAUUCAGUAUUGUCUGGAGGCAAGUGGACACUUUGUACCUGAGGUUUAGAAUAGGUGGUCUCUUGCCAGUACAAUCCCCAGGCGUUUUCUGUGUUCAGAAGUAGUAAGAAUGCCUUUAAUUCAGAGGAUUAUCUAAGCUCUUUAAAGCUGUUUUUCUCCAUUGUCAUAGUGCCUUCUCUGAAAAAUGAAUGUACAGGUAUCCUAUUUUCUAAUGUAAUUAGGAUUUUUUAAAAGCAAUUUUUGAUAGUUUUUCUUUUAAAAAGUAAAAUUCAGCACUGUGACUUGAACCCCCAAAUCUUUCACAUACAGGUGAAACAUUAAGCCACAAAUAAAAAUAAUGAACAAGAAAGAAGACAAGAUCCUAAUUCCUGUCAUUAGUGACCUAAGUACCCCAUAUCAGAAACUUUGCAAAACAGAUCUAGGGACAGAAGGGCUUUGAAAGACAUUUUUCUUUGGGGCAAAUUUCGUGUGCCAGAACUACAGUUUAAAUGUUUUUAUGAGCAAGGGAAGGUAGCAUUGAUUCCCAUAGCUUUCUAAUUAGAUACAUGCUGUCAUGGAUGUAAGCCUUAAAGGAGUUAAUACUAAUCUUGUACAUACACAAAUUUUCCUCAGGUUUUUUUAUUUUAAAAAAUGAUUUGUUAAAAGUACUGUCUGCUAGACCCUUGCCUUUGAGUGGCUUUGAAACUUAAUAUAGUUUUUAAAAAGUGCAAUGGGAUGAGAUUAUGCUAUUAGUAUAUUAAAAGCAUGUUUCUGUUUUACUCCAAUUUGUAAGAUCAUUUAAUGGAAUAAAGAUCACAACACCAUGU
rnacentral:lncRNA from 1 species